GACGAACGCUGGCGGCGUGCCUAACACAUGCAAGUCACGGGGGCCCGCAAGGGUAACCGGCGAACGGGUGCGUAACACGUGAGCAAUCUGCCGUACUCUGGGGGAUAGCCGGCCCAACGGCCGGGUAAUACCGCAUACGCUUGUCGAGUGGCAUCGCUUGACAAGGAAACCUCCGGGGGAGUACGAGGAGCUCGCGGCCUAUCAGCUAGUUGGUGGGGUAACGGCCUACCAAGGCAUUGACGGGUAGCUGGUCUGAGAGGAUGGCCAGCCACAUUGGGACUGAGAUACGGCCCAGACUCCUACGGGAGGCAGCAGUGGGGAAUAUUGCGCAAUGGCCGCAAGGCUGACGCAGCGACGCCGCGUGGGGGAUGAAGCAUUUCGGUGUGUAAACCCCUGUUGCUCGGGACGAACAAGCCUUUUCGAGGGCUCUGACGGUACCGAGUGAGGAAGCACCGGCUAACUCCGUGCCAGCAGCCGCCGUAA
rnacentral:rRNA from 1 species